AUGGGGAAAGGAGCCCGCUCGAACGCAGCUAAAAGGACCGCCGUCGCUUGUGCGGGUGACGGAAAAGAGCAGCAGCGCAAGGCGAUGCCGCCGGAGACAAACGCGCAGAAGCUGGCCCGGCUGCGGGCGCUGGUAGCGUUCGGCAAGGCGGCGAACGCGGAAGCCACGCGCUACAUCGACAUGGAGGAGGAGGAGGUGGUGGAGGAGUACCGGCGGGCGGGCAGACUGCACUGCUACGACCCGGACAACGAGUGGAAGAAGCGCUUCGCCAGAGUCUACAAACUCCACCCGUGCCCGUGCAGCAAGCAAAUGGCCGCAGAAAUCGAGGAAUUCACGUUUUACCUCGAGGAAAACGAGGACGACUUCAGGAUGGGGCUUUACUCGUUAAUCGGGCCGGGUGAUCAAUAUUAG
rnacentral:rRNA from 1 species